GAUUGGUUAAGUAAAGAAAGGUUAGGAGUGAGUGUGAGAGUGUAAGGCAAGAAGUCCGUCUGUUUGCCGUGCAUUGGUCGACCAGUGUGACACGCGAUCUCCAGUCGAACGAUUCGCUUCCGACCUUCAUUCAUUGACUUUCGAUCACGGGAACUUGUCUAGAUCGAACUUCAGAUCCUCCUUGCUAACUUUAAUUCCAUUUCAUCACACCCUCGAGUCCUUCGCCGUCCUAUUGUGCAUAUUUCAUUUAAAAGAUGGAAGUUGAUAAGAAUAUAAGUAAAAUUUUGCUUGAUGACAUUCAAUAUAUUCAAGAAUAUAUUCGUAACAAUUCACAUAAAAUUAACGAGACAAAUUCAUGGGGUCUGACAUAUUUGAUGGUUGCCUCUCAACUGGGCAACACUGAUUUUGUAAACUUCUUGAUAGAUUCUGGUGCUGAUUUGGAAGUGAGGGACAAAGAUGCUGAUACGGCUUUACAUUAUGCUGUGUUUGGAGGUCAUUGUGAUGUGGUGGCCCUCAUAGUCUCCAAGGGUGCCAAUGUUAACAGACAAGACAAGUCUGGCAACACACCUCUCCAUUAUGCUGUAGAGAAGAACUAUGAAGAUGUGAUGGAAAUCAUAUUAAACACAGAAGCAACUCAGAGUCAUGUGGAAGUGGAUACCAGGAACAGUAACAAAACAACACCAUUGCUCCAAGCCAUCUCUGGCGGUCACCUCGGAAUGAUCCGCAAGUUACUUUCUCGUGGCGCAGAUAUAAACGCUGUCGAUAAUGAUGAUAACAACUGUCUGCACUUCGCUGUGAGGAAAGAAGUGUUUCAUUCUGAGGGUGAAGCCUUAGGCAUUUUAGAUGAGUGCUGUGCUAUGCUUGAAUUGGGAAAGAAUGCCAGGCUCUCCGGCGCAGUAAUAGCUACUUACCUGGCUCUGCAGGGAGCCAACUUUUACCAUAAAAAUUGCAAUAAUGCGACCCCGUUGGACCUUGUUAUGAACCCAGAUUUGAAAGAAAAAUUUAAAUCCCUUUUCCCAUCACUAUGUCUGUUUUGUGAAGAGAAAGUGUCCACACUGAAAUGCCAAUCCUGUGGACAGAUGGUGAUCUGUGAGGAAUGUGGUACCGAACCUAACUCUACAUGUCUUGAAUGUCAGCAACCCACAACCAGAGAAAGUGGAAUUGAGAGUCGAAAGCUGAAGGAGAAGGAUCUUCUGAAAGUGGCCAAGAAGUUAGGGAAUAAUUGGUGGCAAGUGGGGAUUUUCUUAGGAGUUGAAACUUCUGAACUGGAAAUUCACGACGAUUCUAAAGACACUGUGAAACAGGGCUACAUGGUGUUGCACAAAUGGUUUAAAAGUUGUGAUCCAGAGAAACAAACACUCAAAACACUUGGAGAUGCCCUCGAGGAAGCUGAGUGCCUUGAUGCACUCAAAUGUCUGUCAUCAGAUGUAAAGUGAAGCUCUGUGUAAAUGUUGUUGUUUAGUUUGAGGUCAAUCUCGACCAAAUACAGACCUUUGGUUAAAUGCAUUCCAGGGGAUAAGGUAUGAAUUGUGGUCGAUUUGGCUACUACUUCUAGCAGAUCUAUCACAAAGAAAUCCCUUUGCUGGUUCGUCUCCCCUGUUGUUAGAGAUUAAAUUUUGAAAUAAAGAUAAACUUUGAACUGUUCA
rnacentral:misc_RNA from 1 species